UGGCUCAGUGGUAGAGCGCAUGCCUUGCAUGCCUGAGGCCUUGGGUUCAAUUCCUCA
rnacentral:tRNA from 1 species